UCGAAGGAAGAUAUCUAAAAUUCAGAAAAGGGAAGAAGGAAGGACGGAAGGAAGAUAAAAUUCGGGGAAGAUCGUCUCACAAUUAAUUCAAUUCGGAAUAUGCAGAGAGUCGUCGUUCCAUCUUGGACAAUGGCCAAGCUCCUGAUUACCGUGAUCCUUAAUGGAAAUGUCCAAUCUAAAGGGUGAAAGAUCGUAGGCGCCGAAAGUUCGCUUUCAAUUUUUCCACGCGCAUAGGACUUCCCUUUUCGGUAAAGGGACACGAGUUUUGUCUUCGACGAGAUGUUCGUUUCAGAGGAAAAAAAAGAGGAAGAUGAUGAAGGAGAAGAAGAAGAAGAUGAAUACUUUCCAGAAACGGCGUGCCAGUGACCUAGAUAGAUUCUUGGAAUCGGCUUGAGUCCACGCUUGCGGCCUUGCCCGGAAUGCGGACAAAAAACUGUCGCCUGGGGCCACUUUAGAGGCAGGUUUGGGACGAGGAACUUCUUCACAAUCGACGUCAUUAACGUUUACGUUCUAGAGACGAAAGGACGAUGAAGGGAGUAGGUGGAUGGAUGGUCAAGGAAGGAAGGUCGGAAGGUAGACAGGAAGGGAGAAAGGAAGAAGAAGAAGAAGAAGAAGAAGAAGAAAGGUAAAGUCCUGUAGGACGACUAGGACGAAGAGGAAGAAGACGACGAUGGUGGUAGCCAGUGACGAUUCUCGUCUCCAAUGAACAUUAUUACGAGACGAGCUGAACCAUAGAUAAACUCCUAGUCGACGAGAUCUCGAGUUCACUGUGAAGCAAUAUGAAACUCCUCGAUCUAAUAUGGCUUGAGGCGGCGACGAAGCAUGACGUCACAUCCGUCCCGUCCGAUGGUCAUCUUGAAUAUUGAGUCGACCGCCGUCGGACCGGAAGUUAUGAGAUUCGGAUUUCGAUCCCACGUUCUCCCUAUUCGCACGCGAUAACCUUUGCGUACAUACAUUCAUAUAUAUAUAUAUAUAUAUUAUAUAAAGUACAUAUAUAAAAUAUAUGUAUA
rnacentral:lncRNA from 1 species